UUGGGGAAUAUUUCGUCAAGCGAGCGGUGCUCUCAAGCCGGCUGGGUGGAUGGAGCCGCCUUCUCCUCCUCGUCCACACGAUGCGUAGUGAUCGGUGACCUGGCUGAGCCCCCCGCCUCGUUCGACGCCUGAAAACACCUGGCUCGAAUCUGAGUCGUCUGCCUGGGCAAGAGCAACGACGGCUCGUCGCUCUUGACACAGCCUUCGGUGAGCUCCGCGAGCCACGCCAUCACCUCUGCCAAUCGUCACCAGCCCCUUCCGCCGGCUAGCGUCUAUAAUGAGGGACGAGAUGGAGGAUGAAAAUGGGAUGGAUAUGAGAUGCCUCGGGGGGUGGGGGGGGGUUGAGUGCCGGCCUCUGACCUUUCCCUCGCCGCCCGCUGCCGGCGCUCCCCGUUUGAAGGCGAAGCAGCCUGUGGCUUGCGGAAGGUGACUCUGAUGUGAGAUGUGAGGCUUUCUGGGAGCCUCUGAUGUGCAAAUGAGGCGAGAAGGCGCACGUCACGGGCCAUGAGUGGCCCCUGAUAUCCGCUUGACAGAUCCCGCGGAGAGUAUUUAUUCACAAACGGAAUGUAUUGAUGAGGUGAGGACUAACUAGCGAGCCCCCCUGAAUUGCUCGUUGUUAUUACUAAGGGUGAGAUGGCCUAACCCCUGACCAGUACAACAUAGCAGCCUUGCACGAACUGCACAUGCGCUGCUGUCCAAAUACAUCUAUCUGCAUCUCCGUCGACCUGAACGGUUUUUUUUUGUGCCUGAUUUGGCUUAAUCUAAUAAACGUGGGAAAAUAAAAAAUUAUGUGUGCGUUUUUUCCCCGACUCGAUUUGUUUAUGCACCGUCGCUUUUCACUUUCCCCGCUUUGAUUUGCCCUUCAAACUUGUCUGGAGAGCACAGCUUGAUUUAACAUGACUGGAUAUUGUGCAUAUAUUUACAAAAAAAAUAAAAACUCGUUAAUUAUAUUUGUAUUAAGCUGCUAUUGUUUCCUUUUGUUUGAGAUCGCAAUUUAACGUGUUGUGAAAAUCUAUCCUCGUGUUCUUUAGCGCAUAUGUUUUCCCUUAUGUGAUAAUGUUUUUCUCGACUCGACACUGGCCUAAGGAUUUGUUUUCUUAGUCGAACCACCAGGUCUACAUACAUACAUACGCGUUGAUUCAAUUGACCCUCGCCUGGUGAAAGUAAAGGAUUACUGUUCUGUUUUUGAAAGAUGUCAAAACAGAUGAAUUCCUUCGAGAAAGAAGCGUGCAGGAUUGUGUGGUUGUUGAUGGUUACGUAUCUCCAUAAACACAUAGAAGUGGGGAAUAGAUGAAUCGGAAAAUGAUAUUUAAAUGAUAUACAAGUUACUUGAUCAAUGAAACAAUAAUAAAGACAAAGAUUCCCCCGUACACUGUAGCCUUAACAGACUUUUGGGGCAAGUGCUGUAAGCGAGCACCUAUAAGGGCCGGCACGGCACACGAGGGGGUGGGUGGCCAACACCAC